UACGGAGGAUGCGAGCGUUAUCCGGAUUUACUGGGUUUAAAGGGUGCGCAGGCGGUUGUUUAAGUCAGGGGUGAAAGCCCUAUGCUCAACAUAGGGAUUGCGCUUGUGACUGGCGGGCUCGAGUACGGUAGAGGGGGGUGGAAUUCCUGGUGUAGCAGUGAAAUGCGUAGAGAUCAGGAGGAACACCGAUGGCGAAGGCAGCCCCCUGGGCCUGUACUGACACUGAGGCGCGAAAGCGUGGGGAGCAAACAGG
rnacentral:rRNA from 1 species